GAAAAAGCGUUGAUGGGGAGAAGUAGAAAACGAUGCUUUGCCAGAGAGGGCCGUCACCGGCUGAAAGCGGCCUAAAGCCUCCCGUUUUCGAAAUGCGCCCCGGAGCCCUAUAUUGAACAACGUGACGUUUAGUAAAUAUAGGCGGAGCCUUCCGUUAAAAAGCAAGAGCGGAGACCGGAUUUUUUGCCGGUCUAAACAGAGUGGAACCGCGUGGAAGCGUCUCUGUC
rnacentral:ncRNA from 1 species